AGUAGAAACUUGCGCGUCAAGUGCCGCUGAGACGGGGGGGUGCUCACGGACGAAAAGCCUUCGGGCUUGCGGUGCAUUUUUCACUCCCGCU
rnacentral:ncRNA from 1 species